rnacentral:rRNA from 1 species
UUGCUAAUAUUGUCAGCGAAGUGGCGACGGGUGAGUAAUAUAUAGGUAACGUGCCCUAGAGAAGAGGAUAACAUUUGGAAACGAAUGCUAAUACUCUAUAUGCCUUUAAGUCAUAAGACUGCAAGGGAAAUAUUUAUAGCUCUAGGAUCGGCCUGUACGGUAUCAGCUUGUUGGUGAGGUAAUGGCUCACCAAGGCAAUGACACCUAACUGGUUUGAGAGGAUGAUCAGUCACACUGGAACUGAGACACGGUCCAGACUCCUACGGGAGGCGGCAGUGGGGAAUAUUGCACAAUGGACGAAAGUCUGAUGCAGCAACGCCGCGUGGAGGAUGACACAUUUCGGUGCGUAAACUCCUUUUAUAUAGGAAGAUAAUGACGGUACUAUAUGAAUAAGCGCCGGCUAACUCCGUGCCAGCAGCCGCGGUAAUACGGAGGGCGCAAGCGUUACUCGGAAUCACUGGGCGUAAAGAGCGUGUAGGCGGGUUAAUAAGUCAGAAGUGAAAUCCAAUAGCUCAACUAUUGAACUGCUUUUGAAACUGUUAACCUA